rnacentral:rRNA from 1 species
AGCAGUAGCCGCGGGGAAUACAGAGGGUGCGAGCGUUAAUCGGAUUUACUGGGCGUAAAGCGUGCGUAGGCGGCUUUUUAAGUCGGAUGUGAAAUCCCUGAGCUUAACUUAGGAAUUGCAUUCGAUACUGGGAAGCUAGAGUAUGGGAGAGGAUGGUAGAAUUCCAGGUGUAGCGGUGAAAUGCGUAGAGAUCUGGAGGAAUACCGAUGGCGAAGGCAGCCAUCUGGCCUAAUACUGACGCUGAGGUACGAAAGCAUGGGGAGCAAACAGGAUUAGAUACCCGGGUAGUCCCUGUCUCUUAUA